ensembl:piRNA 21ur-11121 ncRNA
UGAACAAUUGAAAGUAAUUGA